rnacentral:rRNA from 1 species
UCGACCGCGACCCCAGGUCAGACGGGACUACCCGCUGAGUUUAAGCAUAUCAAUAAGCGGUGGAGAAGAA